rnacentral:rRNA from 1 species
AACGAACGCUGGCGGCAUGCCUAACACAUGCAAGUCGAACGAGACCUUCGGGUCUAGUGGCGCACGGGUGCGUAACGCGUGGGAACCUGCCCUUAGGUUCGGAAUAACUCCCCGAAAGGGGUGCUAAUACCGGAUAAUGUCUUCGGACCAAAGAUUUAUCGCGUUUGGAUGGGCCCGCGUUGGAUUAGCUAGUUGGUAGGGUAAAAGCCUACCAAGGCGACGAUCCAUAGCUGGUCUGAGAGGAUGAUCAGCCACACUGGGACUGAGACACGGCCCAGACUCCUACGGGAGGCAGGAGUGGGGAAUAUUGGACAAUGGGCGGAAGCCUGAUCCAGCAAUGCCGCGUGAGUGAUGAAGGCCGUAGGGUUGUAAAGCUCUUUUACCCGGGAUGAUAAUGACGGUACCGGGAGAAUAAGCUCCGGCUAACUCCGUG